AGUGAACGCUGGCGGCGUGCCUAAUACAUGCAAGUCGAACGAUGAAGUCCUAGCUUGCUAGGAUGGAUUAGUGGCGCACGGGUGAGUAAUAUAUAGUUAAUCUGCCCUACACAGAGGAACAACAGUUGGAAACGGCUGCUAAUACCUCAUACUCCUAUUUGACAUAAGUUAAAUAGGGAAAGUCUUUUCGGUGUAGGAUGAGACUAUAUCGUAUCAGCUAGUUGGUAAGGUAAUGGCUUACCAAGGCUAUGACGCGUAACUGGUCUGAGAGGAUGAUCAGUCACAUUGGAACUGAGACACGGUCCAAACUCCUACGGGAGACAGCAGUAAGGAAUAUUGCGCAAUGGGGGAAACCCUGACGCAGCAACGCCGCGUGGAGGAUGACACUUUUCGGAGCGUAAACUCCUUUUAUCAGGAAAGAAUAAUGACGGUACCUGAUGAAUAAGCACCGGCUAACUCCGUG
rnacentral:rRNA from 1 species